rnacentral:lncRNA from 1 species
GUCCUCCAUGAACCAGUAGUGGUUUAGUCAUGCUGGCCACAUGACCCAGAAAGCUGUCUGUGGACAAACACUGGCUCCAUUGGCCUGAAAAGCGAAAUGAGUGCUGCACCCUAUAGUCACCUUUGACUAGCCUUACCCAUCCAGGGAUCCUUUACCUUUACCUUUUUAUGUUCAAAUGAUUUGGAGUGCUCCAAUAUCUUCUUUGGGAGUGACGAAUGUUGUUGGUUAUAACGGAGCUUGCACACCAUUCCCUUAUCUUCUCAUGAGGUGGCCAAAGUAUUGGAGCCUCAGCUUCAGGAUCUGUCCUUCCAGUGAGCACUCAGGGCUGAUUUCCUUCAGAAUGGAUAGGUUUGAUCUUCUUGCAGUCCAUGGGACUCUCAAGAGUCUCCUCCAGCACCAUAAUUCAAAAGCAUCAAUUCUUUGGGGAUCAACCUCAGGUUAAGAAACAAUGGUUCCUACAUGGUUCCUACAUGGCAGAUGGGGAUGGAGGCAGUGGGGUGGAGAGCCUAAAUUCAAAGAGCGCAACUUGCCUAAGGCCACCUUGAGACUUGGUAGAGAAGGUCAGAUUUGAAGUAGGGAGUUACUGUCUUGCAUUUGUAGACUCUGUGCAAUGCUGGUUUGCUAAUUUCUUAACUGCUAAACAAUCCGCAGGGAACUUUAUAGCAUUUUUUAAAAUCUUCUUUUAAAUGCACUGUUCCCCAUUCAUAGUGGAGACUGGCUAGCUGUCGUUCAGCUAACAGUUAUCCAUUCAAAACAGAAACCACCCAGCUGUUGUGCAUCUGUCCACCCUUCCUUGUGUUCAUCAUUGUUCUCCAUUUAAACCACAUUCCUGGCUUGCUAUUUUGCCAGGCUAUUGCUGAGCCAUUAACCAGUUCUCUAAGCGUAUUUGUCACUUGCACCUUCUCUCAUACCGGGAAUGAUCAACAUGUUGAGGAGAGAUCUUUCUCUUCUUUCUGAGUUGGUCCCUGCAUUGAGCUGUCACUCAGAAUGGCUUCUGUAAGGAAGUUCAGAACAACUUUACAGACUGUUGUUUCGUGAUAGGCAUCGGCUAUACAAAACCUUAAACAGGAGUAUCCCAUUGCAGCUCUGCUGAGUCCCAUAACUCUUCAAUCAUCUGCUCAGGGCAGGCUUUCAUUUCAGUGUCACUUCCUUCCCCAGGAACCAGCACAAGGUGAGUUAAGAAUGGGUGUCUACUUUAAGGACGUCUCUGUUGACCUCCGAAGUUCCUGUUGCUCAUAAAGGUUCCUCUUGCUCAGGAUUUGUGCUUAGAGAAAUUGCUGGCUGCAGAUAUCCAGAGCUGUUGCCCCUCAAGCCCUUCUAAGUCUGGGGUUGGGCCAGGCAAAAGCUACAGUCAGGCAAAGAAUAUUAGACACCGAGAGACAACAGAACUGCUCAAGGUGCCCCGACUAUAAAAUUGGAGAAAUCAAGAGAUAUAUAGCCGCAUCGGCAGCAUAUCUCUUCUUUCUUGUAUCUAGAAAUGCAAGAAGGGCCUUUACACUCACCAGAAGCUCGGCUCUGCCCUCGCCGGUCCUGGAAGGAGCCUUUAGAAAAGUCCCGUAUUCUCAGAGACUUUGCACCUGUCCAUUGGGAGAGACAGGAAGUCCAGAACACGUGAUCUUUAGAUGUCCCUUUUAUGAAGAGGCACGUAGUGAGACCAUUGAUCCCCUACUGGUGAGGUUCGCCGACCUCCCGCAAAAGCAAAAAAUUGACCUUUUCCUGUUAGGCAAAGAUCAGAAGAUGAUCCGGAUGGUCACCAGAUUCUGUGUACAGAUCUGUAGGUGCAGACCAUCUCCCAACUCAAACUAGUCCGUCAUGAAAAUCCCCAAACUCAGUUCCAUGGGUUAUUCUGGGUCAGCUCCCUGCGAUAGUUUAUUGCUGUACAUUGUUUUCAAAUUUAUUGUUGUACAUUGUUUUAAUUGUCUGUUUUUCUUCUGUGACUGUACCCCCAAGGGUGUUUUAUAAGCUGGUCUCCUACUGUAAUAAAUUAUCUAUCUAUCCAGAGUUGCAGUCUUCUGACUUUCUCCUUCCCCAGAAGCAGUGCGUAAUUGUUGAAUGUGCUUCACUGUGUUAGGCUGCAGGCAUAGGAUCCACAGCAAGCCACCUACUCUGCUAAACUCUCCGAGCCUCUGAUACUCUGAACACACACCAAAUCAAUCUACAUUGAAAGGGAAACAGUAGAUAAUUUGCCAUAUUUCAAUAUAUUGUAUGAUCUUUGAAGUCUAUUUUAUGCCCGUGUUAAGGCUGCAUUCAACAGUGAAAGCUGAGAAAGAAAGGUCCCUUAGAUACAUUCACAAAGUCACUUAAAUAAUACAGGGAGACUCCAAAGAGAAAAGAAAUCCAGAUAACCUUUUGCUGAGGACACUCCACAAAACAGUGUAUGGUUUAAGAAGAAAGAGACAGAGAAGUUUUGUCUUUCUUACAUCAAGCCUUGUAAAUAGCAGGGAGACAUUCAACCAAACAUAUACAGGAAAACACCCUCAGAAUUACAAAGCCAAUCAGAGUAUGUUCUACCUCAGCAAACAUCAUGCCACUAUGCCUGGUUGCUAAGCAAAGCCACUACUGCCAUCUUGGUUAUCUGCUUUAGUGAUAACAGAAUUAACGCUCGCUCUGCUGUUGCACUUUCAACAAGAUAGAACAUUAAACCAUCAAGUCUAAUAUUGUCUACUUUAACUGGCAGUAACUCUCCUGGUUCUCAGGAACAAAUCUUUCUCAGCCCAACCACCAAAGAUACAAUUUUCCUUAGUUCCUACCCUGUAAUUUAAUUAGAAUAAGAGUUAAUCCAGUCAUGUACAGCAGGCAAAGCCAAUCAGAUUCAAAUGGAAAAAGAGCCCCAAAAACAGUUUUAGCUCUGGACUGGUGAAAUGAUCUAUGUACUACUUGCUCUGAAAGUUUCUCUCCCACAGAUGCAUACACGACAUUUUCUAUAUCUCAGCAUGUUUUUAAAAAGUUCCUGUUGUGAGAUUAGAAUGCCUUUUCUAAGCAAGGUUCCUCCUCUUGACACCCCCAUUCUCAAUUUUAAAUAUAUAUAAGCUUGCAAGCUGUACCUUGAGAGCUGAAUGAGGAACGGGGUGGAGGGGAAAUUU